rnacentral:misc_RNA from 1 species
AACCAGACCAGGAAGAGUAAAUACCUGGAGCCGCCAUGAUAGAAGUUUAAGGAUCUAGUACUCCAGUAAUUUACAUCGUGUGCCUGACCAUGUACCCUAGGACUUGGGCCCAGGAUGUGUUACGGUGUCGUCUCUGUGAGACCCCGGGCCCCCCUUUGUAUUGUGACAUUUGUCACAUACAUCUGUGUAAAGCAUGUGUUGGGGAACAUCUCUUGGAUGAUUCCAAAGAACACAAAGUGGUGCCAUUUAAAAAGCGGGGAUCUACUCCAAAUUACCCUAAGUGUCCUAAACAUUCCACAAAACAAUGUGAACUUCACUGUGAACAAUGUGACAUUCCUAUUUGCACACUCUGUAUUUCUGGAGAACAUUUAGGACAUACACCAGUUGACAUUGUUAAACAUAUUGAAAGCAAAAAAGAACUUUUACAGAGAGAAAUGCAAGAAUUACAGAAAUCCAUUUCUCCUAAAUAUCAACAGAUUGCCUCUAAUAUCCCAGUCCAGAAAGCUGCUCUGAAUAAAAACAGCCAGAAAUUGACAUCAGCAAUGGACAAACAUGGAGAAGCCUUGCACAGAGAAAUAGACACCAGGAUCCACAAACUGAAAUCUGAUCUGAAUGAAAUGGACACCAAACACCUGGCCGUCCUCGACAAACAGGAAAAUGAAAUCACACGCACCAUUUCUGAAAUCACACAGACCAUUACUGAACUGAAGAAGUGAGUGGACUCCAAUGGUGUCAGCGGUGUCUCUGCCUACAAAUCCAGGAUUGCUGAAUUCAGAAGAUUGCCUCCUAAACUCACAGUUUCCUUACCAAGUUUUACCCCUCAGAAGAUCAACAAAGAACAGCUUUAUCAACAGUUUGGUUCUCUGUCAGCGUCAUCUAUAAAAACAGAAGAACAAGUCUACACCAUGGAUUCCCCCGGUGCUGAGUCCUCUCCCCCGGACAGACCGCUCAUUGAUGUACCACGGAUCAUCACAGAGAUAAACACCGAGUAUGGAGGCUCUAAUGUAUUAUACAGUGUGUCCUGUCUGAGGGAUGAAGAACUAUGGACGCGUGGUCAAGACAACAAGAUGAGACUUUACAACCUACAUGGAAAACUAGUGAAGUCAGUCCAAACCAAGUCAGGGAACGGUCCACUGGACAUAGCAGUGGCAAGGAGUGGGGAUCUAGUUUAUAAUGAUUACAGUGAUAGAACUGUGAACAUAGUGAAGAAUAAAAAGAUAGAGACAGUGAUCAGACUACGGGGGUGGGGACCUCGCAGUGUCUGUAGUACCUCCUCUGGUGACUGUCGAUACUCAAGACAAUUAACCUAGUCCGUGACAAGCACACGCUACGCGGUGUACGUAUACCAUACGAUCAACGGCAAACUAUGAAAAUUUUACUUUACCCUUAAAAUAUAAAAAGAUAUUGAUAUCAUUUUGUGUGUGUUGAAUAUGAAGCUACUACACAUAUGUCGUAUCUGUAGCGAAUAAUAACGUUUUUUGUACCCCCUUUACAACGUUUUAAUGACUGUCAAAGUUAACUGUAUUUGUCCCAAUUGUUUUACACAAAGGUGUGAAACCAUCGCACUGACAGGAAAUCACUCUUCGCUUGAACGCACAGAAUUCACGGGUAUGAGGCAGGUGGAUAUUCCUUGCAACAAGUGACAACCAGGAAUUCCUCCCGUAUAUCAAACAAUUUAUCUAACAGUUACAAUAAAUAAUUGUUUCAUUUU